rnacentral:rRNA from 1 species
GNCGNCCGCCGCGCCCCGNGCCNGUCCCGCCGCCCCCGCCCCNUANGGGAGGCAGCAGUGGGGAAUCUUAGACAAUGGGGGAAACCCUGAUCUAGCCAUGCCGCGUGAGCGAUGAAGGCCUUAGGGUUGUAAAGCUCUUUCACCGGGGAAGAUAAUGACGGUACCCGGAGAAGAAGCCCCGGCUAACUCCGUGCCAGCAGCCGCGGUAAUACGGAGGGGGCUAGCGUUGUUCGGAAUUACUGGGCGUAAAGCGCACGUAGGCGGAUUGGAAAGUUGGGGGUGAAAUCCCGGGGCUCAACCUCGGAACUGCCUCCAAAACUCCCAGUCUUGAGGUCGAGAGAGGUGAGUGGAAUUCCGAGUGUAGAGGUGAAAUUCGUAGAUAUUCGGAGGAACACCAGUGGCGAAGGCGGCUCACUGGCUCGAUACUGACGCUGAGGUGCGAAAGCGUGGGGAGCAAACAGGAUUANAUACCCUGGUAGUGCCANGCCGUA